rnacentral:rRNA from 1 species
GAUGAACGCUGGCUACAGGCUUAACACAUGCAAGUCCAGGGGAAACGACGGGGAAGCUUGCUUCCCCGGGCGUCGACCGGCGCACGGGUGAGUAACGCGUAUCCAACCUGCCUCUGACUGAGGGAUAACCCGUCGAAAGUCGGCCUAAUACCUCAUGGCAUCGUCUGCGGGCAUCCAACGACGAUUAAAGAUUUCAUCGGUCAGAGAUGGGGAUGCGUCUGAUUAGCUUGUUGGCGGGGUAACGGCCCACCAAGGCGACGAUCAGUAGGGGUUCUGAGAGGAAGGUCCCCCACAUUGGAACUGAGACACGGUCCAAACUCCUACGGGAGGCAGCAGUGAGGAAUAUUGGUCAAUGGGCGAGAGCCUGAACCAGCCAAGUAGCGUGCAGGAUGACGGCCCUAUGGGUUGUAAACUGCUUUUAUGCGGGGAUAAAGUGAGGGACGUGUCCUUCAUUGCAGGUACCGCAUGAAUAAGGACCGGCUAAUUCCGUG